AGUGAAGAAGGUUUUCGGAUCGUAAAGCUCUGUUGUUGGUGAAGAAGGAUAGAGGUAGUCACUGGCCUUUAUUUGACGGUAAUCAACCAGAAAGUCACGGCUAACUACGUGCCACCAGCCGCGGUAAUACGUAUGUGGCAAGCGUUGUCCGGAUUUAUUGGGCGUAAAGCGAGCGCAGGCGGAAGAAUUACUCUGAUGUGAAAGCCCUCGGCUUAACCGACGAACUGCAUCUGAAACUGUUUUUCUUGAGUGCAUAAGAGGAGAGUGGAACUCC
rnacentral:rRNA from 1 species